GACGAACGCUGGCGGCGUGCCUAAUACAUGCAAGUCGAACGCAGGGGGGACGGGUGAGUAACACGUGGGUAACCUCCCAUCAGAGGGGAUAACACUUGGCAACAGGUGCUAAACCGAUACUGAUGGAUGGACCCGCGGUGCACUAGCUAGUUGGUGAGGGAACUGCUCACCACGGCCACGAGUCAUAGACGACCUGAGAGGGUGAUCGGCCACACAGGGGCUGAAAAACGACCCAGGCGCCUGCGGGAGGAGUCAGUAGGGAAUCUGCGGCAAUGGACGAAAGUCUGACCGAACAACGCCGCGUGAGUGAAGAAGGUUUUCGGAUCGUAAGACUCUGUUGUUAGAGAAGCGGUAUCUAACCAGAAAGCCACGGCUAACUACGUGCCAGCAGCCGCGGUAAUAC
rnacentral:rRNA from 1 species